rnacentral:rRNA from 1 species
UGCGUAGGCGGCUUUGCAAGUCUGAUGUGAAAUCUCCGGGCCCAACCCGGAAAUGGCAUUAGAAACUGUGAGGCUGGAGGCUUGGAGGGGGAACUGGAAUACUUGGUGUAGCAGUGAAAUGCGUAGAUAUCAAGUGGAACACCGGUGGCGAAGGCGAGUUCCUGGACCAAGACCUGACGCUGAGGCACGAAAGCCGGGGGAGCAAACA